CUGGACGUCUCGUCGCUGAUGCACCUCCGGGUGUGUUUGAGGAAAGUCCGGGCAACGUAGAGCACCAUAUUUCUUAACGGGAAGCUAUCGGUGACGGUAGGGGCAACGUGACAGAAAAAAACCGCCGCUACCAAGCGGUAAGGGUGAAAAGGCGGGGUAAGAGCCCACCGGGUGGUAUAGUGAUAUACCAUGCCGCACGCCCUAUGGGUUGCAAGGUCAAGUAUAUCGCCAUUUAAGGGUUGCUCGCCCAUUGGCGAGGGGUGGACUGCUAUAGAAGCGUGGCAACACGUUUCACAGAUAAAUGACGAGACGUAAGUGGUGGCUCGCAACAGCGAAAGUGCCCUUACGACAUAACCCGGCUUAUAGUCCGGCUGCU
rnacentral:RNase_P_RNA from 1 species